rnacentral:rRNA from 1 species
AUACGGAGGGUGCAAGCGCUAAUCGGAAUUACUGGGCGUAAAGAGUACGUAGGUGGUUUAUUAAGUCAGAUGUGAAAGCCCCGGGCUCAACCUGGGAACUGCAUUUGAAACUAGUAAACUAGAGUAUGGUAGAGGGGGGUAGAAUUUCUAGUGUAGCGGUGAAAUGCGUAGAUAUUAGAAGGAAUACCAGUGGCGAAGGCGGCCCCCUGGACCAAUACUGACACUGAGGUACGAAAGCGUGGGGAGCAAACAGGAUUAGAUACCCUAGUAGUCC